CCUACGUGAGGCAGCAGUGAGGAAUAUUGGUCAAUGGCCGGAAGGCUGAACCAGCCAAGCCGCGUGAAGGACGAAGGUGCCAAGCAUUGUAAACUUCUUUUGUCAAGGGACAAAAUCAGGCUCGAGACCCUGACCGAGGGUACUUGAAGAAAAAGCCUCGGCUAACUCCGUGCCCGCAGCCGCGGUAAUACGGAGGAGGCGAGCGUUAUCCGGAUUUAUUGGGUUAAAAGGGUGCGUAGGCGGACUGUUAAGUCAGCGGUAAUAGCGCGGGGCUCAACCCCGGCGAGCCGUUGAAACUGGCUGUCUUGAGAUGUCGAGAGGUAUGCGGAAUGCGCAGUGUAGCGGUGAAAUGCUUAGAUAUUGCGCAGAACUCCGAUGGCGAAGGCAGCAUACCGGCGGCGAUCUGACGCUGAGGCACGAAAGCGGGGGUAUCGAACAGGAUUAGAUACCCCUGUAGUC
rnacentral:rRNA from 1 species